UGGGGAAUAUUGGACAAUGGGCGCAAGCCUGAUCCAGCCAUGCCGCGUGAGUGAUGAAGGCCCUAGGGUUGUAAAGCUCUGUCACCGGUGAAGAUAAUGACGGUAACCGGAGAAGAAGCCCAGGCUAACUUCGUGCCAGCAGCCGCGGUAAUACGAAGGGGGCUAGCGUUGUUCGGAUUUACUGGGCGUAAAGCGCACGUAGGCGGACUAUUAAGUCAGGGGUGAAAUCCCUGGGCUCAACCCCGGAACUGCCUUUGAUACUGGUAGUCUUGAGUUCGACAGAGGUGAGUGGAAUUCCGAGUGUAGAGGUGAAAUUCGUAGAUAUUCGGAGGAACACCAGUGGCGAAGGCGGCUCACUGGCUCGAUACUGCCGCUGGGGUGCGAAAGCGUGGGGAGCAAACAGG
rnacentral:rRNA from 1 species